UACGUAGGUGGCAAGCGUUGUCCGGAUUUACUGGGUGUAAAGGGCGUGCAGCCGGAGAGACAAGUCAGAUGUGAAAUCCACGGGCUCAACUCGUGAACUGCGUUUGAAACUGUUUCCCUUGAGUGUCGGAGAGGUAAUCGGAAUUCCUUGUGUAGCGGUGAAAUGCGUAGAUAUAAGGAAGAACACCAGUGGCGAAGGCGGAUUACUGGACGAUAACUGACGGUGAGGCGCGAAAGCGUGGGGAGCAAACAGG
rnacentral:rRNA from 1 species